AUUCUGUGCUACAGUCACUUGUUGCUGAUGUAAUAUGUGAUGUUCCACUCCACCAGCUUGCCUUGCCUCGCCAUCUAUCCCAGCAUGCCUUGCAGAGGCGUAGAAUGGGCUCCUGUUGAAAUGAAUGGAGGUGCUUACGAAGCCGCUUCUUGUCGGAGGAUGUGUGGCUCCAGCCGCGAGGUGUGGACUGUCUCCUGAAAUCAAUGGAGAAAAGGAGAAGAAGAAGAAUGCACUCUCUGUCCUCCUUAAUCUAUUAACAAGCUGCAGCCAAUGAUUCCCCCCUCAUCAGAGUUUAUUCAGUCAGGGCAGUGAUUAGGACAUAUACAUGCUAUUUAAUAGGUGACAGACGUAGGAAAUUACUACAACAUGUGACAAAUUGACAUAAUUAAAUGCCAAAUCGUUAAAUAGUUAUAUAUGUGGCAUGUAUUUUAACAGUUUAUCUCUCUGGUAUCUAAUUACAUCAAUUUGUCACAUAUUGUAGUAAUUUGUUACACCUGUCACCUGUUAAAUAGCAUGUAUAUAUUUUAAUCACUGCAUUCACAGAACUAAAGCCUGAUAAAGGGGAAUCAGUGCAGUUAGAUUGAGGAGGAAAGAGAGUCGUUCUCUUCCUUCGGAGUCGCUUUCUCUCUGUCGAUGCGCACUCCGCUCCUGUCGAUGCGCACUCCGUUCCUGUCGAUGCGCACUCCGUUCCUGUCGAUGCGCACUCCGCUCCUGUCGAUGCGCACUCCGCUCCUGUCGAUGCGCACUCCGCUCCUGUCGAUGCGCACUCCGCUCCUGUCGAUGCGCACUCCGCUCCUGUCGAUGCGCACUCCGCUCCUGUCGAUGCGCACUCCGCUCCUGUCGAUGGGCACUCCGCUCCUGUCGAGACGUUUGGUGAUGUGAUGCCCAGAACCCCGUUUGGCAGCCUGCCCUGGCAGACUGGCACCAGACUGGCACCAGGACCGGCCCUCAGACUGGCACCAGACUGGCACCAGGACCGGCCCUCAGACCACACCUACGCAGAGACAGGCCAGCAAAUGCAGUUCUGUCUCCUACCACUGAGUGGCGCUCACAUCCCACUUGCUUGUCUCGCUCUGCUGCGGCUUCUUCUCUCAUCUGGGUCAGGCUGAUCAGAGCUCCGUUUCGGACAUGUUUGUGACAGAAGCUGAAAGUGCAAGAAUGAAAUGUUUUCUGCGUUCAAGAACAAAAAGAAUAAUUUUGUUUCGCAGAUGCACCAGAUUCUUAACAUUCUUUCAGUUGAUUUCUUUCCUUUUGUUUGAUUAUUAAGGGAAAUAAAACAUUUUUAAUACUGAGGCAAUCCUGAAUAUGAAGCAAAUUGAUGGUAUGAUGAGAGGGGGACAGGUCUGGAGGUUGUGUAGCUUAAUAUAAUAUACAUUUCUGAUGUAAUUAUAUGUAAUUAUAAGAAACUGAUAUGAAUAUGCUUCCCGUGAUGUUGCACUCCCUUAUACACACAGGAGUUUCAUGUCUGGACCCAGUCAAAGGGAUCAUACAGAUGAUUUAGUAUGGUGAUGAUGAUGAUGAUGAAGACAUGGAUUUAUCUUACCGACUUGUGUUUCAAGAGAAUAUCAGACUUGUUAUUGUUGGUCCUUUUAGUCGUCUCUAGGAAUUAAACACACCCUGUACGCUUGUGAGAAUUAAAUUGUUGGAAAUUUGCGUGCAGUACAUUCUGUCCCUGAUGCAUUCUCUCCCUGCUGCAUUCUGUCCCUGCUGAAUUCUGUCCCUGCUGCAUUCUGUCCCUGAUGCAUUCUGUCCCU